rnacentral:lncRNA from 1 species
AAGUUCUUCCUCAGUCUUGAGGUGUGGGAUUCCCGGUGUGUGUCAAAUACAUACCUCCACGGUGAUUUCAGAGUUCUUCCUCAGUCCUGAGGUUUGGGAUUCCCGGUUUGUGUCAGUAGAAUUGCCAGAGUAAUAGAUACCUCCAAGGUGAUCUCCAAGUUCUUCCUCAGUCUUGAGGUUUGGGAUACCCGGUUUGUGUCAGCAGAAUUGUGUGAGUGUGAGUUCAUCCUAUUUUCUCAAGAACGAUUUGUUUUCUUGCAUGUAUUCCCUCUUCCGGUAUGAAUUUAGUAUCUUGGGAGAGCAACUGUAGACAGUGGUUCAAUAAGGAACGCAUACGAAAAAAAAUAUGAAUGACAGAGGUAGUGACCACUGCCAAAGAUGCUCUAGAGUUUAAAGUCCACUCAAGCAUCUGGUAGUUAAUGUUAGUUUUCAAUGGAAAUCUGACCAGCACUACUAGUGAUCAGCGGCUCAAUAAAUGCAGCACAAUUU